rnacentral:rRNA from 1 species
CUGGGGGGAGCCCAAACAUGCCAAAUCGAGCGGUAACAUUUCUAGCUUGCUAGAAGAUGACGAGCGGCGGUCGGGUGAGUAAUGCUUGGGAAUAUGCCUUAGGGUGGGGGACAACAGUUGGAAACGACUGCUAAUACCGCAUAACGUCUACGGACCAAAGGGGGCUUCGGCUCUCGCCCUUAGAUUAGCCCAAGUGGGAUUAGCUAGUUGGUGAGGUAAUGGCUCACCAAGGCGACGAUCCCUAGCUGGUUUGAGAGGAUGAUCAGCCACACUGGAACUGAGACACGGUCCAGACUCCUACGGGAGGCAGCAGUGGGGAAUAUUGCACAAUGGGCGCAAGCCUGAUGCAGCCAUGCCGCGUGUGUGAAGAAGGCCUUCGGGUUGUAAAGCACUUUCAGUCGUGAGGAAGGUUUAUGCGUUAAUAGCGUAUAGAUUUGACGUUAGCGACAGAAGAAGCACCGGCUAACUCCGUGCCAGCAGCCGCGGUAAUACGGAGGGUGCGAGCGUUAAUCGGAAUUACUGGGCGUAAAGCGCAUGCAGGUGGUUCGUUAAGUCAGAUGUGAAAGCCCGGGGCUCAACCUCGGAAUAGCAUUUGAAACUGGCAGACUAGAGUACUGUAGAGGGGGGGUAGAAUUUCAGGGUGUAGCG